GUGCUCCCUUCGGCAGCACAUAUACGAAAGUUGGAACGAUACAGAGAAGAUUAGCAUGGCCCCUGUGCAAGGAUGACAUGCAAAUUCGUGAAACAUUCCAUAUUUUU